AUGCAGAGGCGGAGGCCGGGAUUCCACCAUGUGGAAGAGACGGAGAACAAUGUAGUGCGCAGCCUGUUCUGGAUAGACUCCCUGUGUAAGAUGAAUUAUGAUCUAUAUGGAGAUUUCGUGUCUUUUGACACCACAUUCUCUACGAAUAUAUAUGGCUUGCCAUUUGCACCAAUUAUAGGUGUCAACAACCACGGGUCGACUGUCCUAUUUGGGGUAGGCCUUUUGAAGGAUGAGAAAAUAGGGUCGUUCAAGUGGCUCCUAAGCACGUUUGUUGAGGCAAUGGGAGGUAAAGAGCCGAAAUACAUAAUAACAGACCAGGACCAGGCGAUGAAGACUGCAAUAAAGGAAGCUCUUCCAAGGACGAGGUACAUGUUCUGCUGGUGGCAUAUUAGGAAGAACCUGAAGGAAAAUAACGCAGUAGUGUUUGCGCAGCACCCAGGGAUGUGUGAUGAUAUAUUUCGAAUCGUCAAAAACUCACUAGAUCAAGACGAGUUUGAGCGUGCCUGGAAAGCAGCAAUUUCUCUGCACAAGGCGGAAGGCAACAAACAUCUAAACACGCUAUGGGAACUCCGAACUUUUUGGGUGCCGACCUACUUCAAUGACUGUUUCUAUCCUUUCUCGUCAACAACCACUCGAAGUGAGAGCACGAAUUCUAUGUGGAAGAAUUACGUCGACCACUCAGACACUAUAAAAAGGUUUGUUGAAGCGUAUCACACGAUUCAGCAAAUUGCCUCGCCACGCUUGACAAGAAAAGAUACCAAACAGAAGAGAAGGCGCCAUCACUAG
rnacentral:rRNA from 1 species